UACGUAGGGUGCGAGCGUUGUCCGGAAUUAUUGGGCGUAAAGGGCUCGUAGGCGGUCUGUUGCGUCGGGGAGUGAAAACUCAGGGCUUAACCCUGAGCCUGCUUCCGAUACGGGCAGACUAGAGGUAUGCAGGGGAGAACGGAAUUCCUGGUGUAGCGGUGAAAUGCGCAGAUAUCAGGAGGAACACCGGUGGCGAAGGCGGUUCUCUGGGCCGAUACUGACGCUGAGGAGCGAAAGCGUGGGGGAGCGAACAGG
rnacentral:rRNA from 1 species